GAUGAAGAACGCAGCGAAAUGCGAUAAGUAAUGUGAAUUGCAGAAUUCAGUGAAUCAUCGAAUCUUUGAACGCACAUUGCGCCCCCUGGUAUUCCGGGGGGCAUGCCUGUCCGAGCGUCAUUACAACCCUCAAGCUCAGCUUGGUGUUGGGCCCCGCCGCCCCGGCGGGCCCUAAAGUCAGUGGCGGUGCCGUCCGGCUCCGAGCGUAGUAAUUCUUCUCGCUCUGGAGGUCCGGUCGUGUGCUCGCCAGCAACCCCCAAUUUUUUUCAGGUUGAACUCGGAUCAGGUAGGGAUACCCGCUGAACUUAAGCAUAUCAAUAAGCGGAGGA
rnacentral:misc_RNA from 1 species